CCCGACCUCCCUAUCAAAUAUUAAAAGAGAUAUAUGAGAAUCCAGUAGGCGUGUGUCAGAACCAAGAGAUAUCAUAUCUCUUCCAAAGAUGUGAUUUCCGAGAUUUCUUUGGGUAUAGUCGCGUAAUAAUCAUGAGAACGGUGCAAAUUCGAAGAGUUGCGUUUUUUUUUGUUUCUAUUUCAACUCUUUUUUUGUUCUCUUACUAUUCUCAGUGUUCUUUCUCUUAUUUCUCUCUGCGGUUUACCUUUUUUUUCUCUGAUAUUCAAGUCGAUUCUCCUAUUGAAGUGCGGCUUUUUUCGAUUAAUUCGUCCAAAUGGUGGAUUUUGACCUCCCUCAUCGGCUUAUUGCUGCUGGUGAGGAACCGAGAGAGGGCUAACAUGUAAAACAAGAUGAAAACUCUACAUGGUAUUAUCGACUCGUUGGAUGACUUUGAAAUCCAGCUUAUCAGAGAUUCACCUCUCGGCGGUUUGUUGGAUUUUCCAAACAAACCUGCUUGGUCUGCCAGUUUCGGUCUUUAUCUGUUUGGGCGCCAGUUGGACAUAGCCAAAGCCAACGAGAUCUUGGUGGUUUAUGCUGGUACGCCUGUUGGACAUAGCCAAAGCCAACGAGAUCUGGGUGGUUUUUUCUUAUCUGUUUCGUUUUCAAUUUGUAAUUUAGACACCUUAUUAUCUGGUAAUUAUUUUAUUUCUUUGUUAUCUCCAACUCUCAACUUAGAGCCUUUUUUUUCCAAAACACAUUUAUAUUCGUUACUGCAUAACUAAUUUGUUAUCUCGUUAAGUCAGUUUCUGUAACUGUUUAUUAUGUAGUAACACAUUUAUUGUGUUUUGCAUAACACAUUUAUAUUCGUUACUGCAUAACUAAUUUGUUAUCUCUGUUAGUUAGUGUCUGUAACUGUUAAUAACACACUUAUCUGUUUCGUUUCCAAUAUUGGAAUUUGGGACCCUUAA